GGCGGGGUGAGGCGGCGUGAGGGGAGUGAGGAGGGACGCUGACAGCGCUCUUUGAGUUACCCUCUCCCGGUAUUUGGGUACAAAUCACCGCGUGUGCCCCGCAUGGAAGGGUGAUCUGUGACCAAAGGCAGACGGUCAGCGUCUCCCUGGAAGUGCAGGCUACGGAUGCUCUCCCAUCACUUCACUGACAUGAAAAGUGCACAGAGACCCUUGCAAGUAUUGACAGUAGAGACAGAGCUGGCCCUGGCACCUCCUGGACACAAAGUCAGGGAAUAUCUAACAGUCCCAAGCCUUAGCUCUGGAGUACAAAGCUAGCAGAAUCUUUCAAGCUGUCACUGAUCCAAAACUCCCUGCAAAGCAGCACUGUCAGCAUGGAAAGCUAAUGUUACAACAAGUUCUUUCAGGAGAGCAGAAAGGGGUUCUAACAGAGAAAAGGGCAGAUUCAAUAAGACCAACACCCGAGAAAUGAGUUCUGAAGUAUCCUGAAGGAACAGGAGCAUUCGUGGAGCUGGUCAAAGGAAAUUCGAAGGAGCAGAACUAAGUCAUUGGAAAAAGCAUGUCUGCAUGCUUUAACAGCCCUGAAAGGCUCUCUAAAGAAAUGAAUACAAACACAGUGAGCCAAAACCCAAAAGCAACAGCCUUGAAAAACUGCAAAAAAAAACCCCUCAAACUGGCAUCACCAGAGAUAAAGGAAGUUAAUGUAAUUAUCAGUGAGAAAGGGGAGCCCAGCACAUGAAGAGAAUUAGGAAUCCAUCAUAUUCUCCCACAGAGCAGUGCUGAGAGGAUGCAAAACCCCCUCAACUUCUGUUGCUGAGAUGCAACUUGCAGCUCUAGACUUGGCCAGAACCCUGGAAUUUCAUCCCAGUGGCACUGUCAGCUCUGUGGGCUCACGGGACAGGAAUUCUGGCUGGACAGGCAGCAUGCCUGCAACACUUCAGCACAGCUCAGUGGAAACAGGAUCUGGGAAUGCUGCACUUCCACUAGAGCUAGAAGUGGGAAACACAUCAGGUCUCAGACCAACCUGGUAACAGAAACGUGUGCAAAUUUCCAGCACUAUUUUAGCUGUGAACCUUUAAGGAUCAAGGCUUGACAUCUGAGCAAAAAGAAAAAGUCAUGAGAACUUUAAGAGCAGGGCAGCAAAGCUCUUUGCAACCCAUAUGGAGAAGACUGAGUCUCAGGGAAGUUCACUGACAUGGAACUGAUUUCACAUGACAGAAAUAGAGGCUGAAACACCAAUUUACCUCAGUGAAACCUGCUGCAAGCUGACUCAGCCAGGGGGCUGAGCUCUGUCUCAGCAAUGUGGGAUUCACAGAAAAAUCUCCACAGGUCACAGGAAAUGAGCAGUUCAUCAGUAACAUUCAUCAGCCUGGUCAAUCUUCAAUCUUCACCAGGAUGAACAAGGCAUUUUGGAGUGUCUUUUUUUUUUCCUUUGGAACAGGUUCACUCUCCUGAAUUAAUGCACAACAGCCUGAGGGACCUGCCAAGUGUACCUGAAUCCAAGUUGGACUUUAAGAAGAAAAGUCCUCUGGAACAUUAUGUACAGAAUCACUGUACUGUAUCCUGGAAAAUCAGAUCCUAAGAGGUGUUUUGCACAGCUGAACAACAGCCAGAGGACACAGACCCUCCAAAUCAGAAAGAUCAAUGCACUCCUUGAAGGGACAGAGAGAAAAGCAUCAAAAAGCAGCUAUGUCACCCUCCCAAAGACCACACUGCCAGAAAACCAUGUGCAUUUCUGAUGCUUUUCUUUUAAAAAAUGUAAGACAGCUACAGAAGAUUUAGAACAAGAAAUCUAUAAACUUAAUCUAAAUUAAUCAUCAAUUAAUAUGAAGGCAGCAAUUUCAUAAUUGUCUGGAGAACUUAAAUAGAUGACUCCUAAAAUUCAGCUAAAACAGGCAUAUAAAGGUCAACAUAGUUCAAAGUCAAAGGUGGUAAAAUGCAGAUUGGAAAUAAAAUACAACUCCACCUUCCCAAGCAAGUGGAAAACUUUCCAUCAGUUUAACUCUUUGGUGGAUCUUCUUCAGCUACAAUGUUCACAUGCACUGGGAAACCAUUCCACUCCCUACAGGCUCCUGAGUUUUGUCAUUCCCUGGUAUAAUGAAAUUCAAAAAAUUAACAGAUUUCAGGCUCAGAGGAAUUCUUCAGCCUCUUGUUUGAACUGUGACACUGCUCAUACCUGCAGGCCAAUUCAGGGAAGAUCUGACACAAGGAAAAGUUACAGCAACAAGGUGAAUGGGGUUUUGGGGAAUAAGAGCAGUUUUCCUUCAUGAUGCUGGGAUUCCUCUUGAAGGCACAAGUCUGAGCAGCACAGGGUGCACAUCUUCUGAGGGCUCCCAGGAAGAGCACAAGCAUGGAAAGGUGAGUCCAGUUCCUGCAGGAACUUCUGUCACUUCCUGUGACAACUGGGACACUUGGGUACUGGAAAUUCUCCUUCUGCAGCCUGGCACAGCUGAGGAAGAGCUGCUCAGGGAGUGCCUCCACCACCAGCACUGCUCAGCUGAGCAAGAUUAACUUUUCAAAAGAGAAGCACAAAGCUCAGUAUCCUCUUUCUUCCUUACUCCAUCUUCACUAACAUAACUCCAGCCAUCUCAGGAUGCCACAAAAGGUGAGGAAAGAGUUAAAAUACAAUGGGUCCCACAAGUGAAGAACGUUUCAAACCUGGCUCAUAUCAGUUCUCUGUUUAUGAUGCACAUUCCCUCCUGUCACAACCCUCUGACACUCUGCUGCCUUUGUGCCAGUCCAGGAAAAAGUGCUUGUGUAUGUUUUAAAUAUUGUCCAGAUGCUGGGGAAUCAGGGCUAUAAACCACCCAAUAUUCUGCUGAUUGGGCAGGUGGUGAAACCACAGAGCACCUUCUCCCUUUCUCAGACAUCUCAGGGGGUUUGCAUUUCUCUCUUCACUCCAAUUGUUAGUGUCAAUAGGGAGUUUUCUCUUUAUUCCCAAGCUUUGGAAACCUUUUCCUUCACAGAAAUACAAGUCUUUAUUUUUGCAUCUAGUUUUAUUGUGUAAGGGUGGCUCCCUUUCCCAAUUCAGAGUGUGUUCAGGGCCACAAAAGCUGUUCUUAUCUCCCAGAGCACCAGUAAGACACCCCAGUGAUGUCAGCCACUUCCUCCUGGAGCAUAUGGGAACUGGGCUCUGAAGGCACCAACCACAUUCCAGCCCUUGUGCUUCCCCCACCCCAUGGGGACACCUUUUUUCCUUGUUCUCAAGUACCUUCCUACUCAUGCUGAGCAGAACAAAUAAAUCCCAUGAACGCCCUAUAAAAACAUAAAUGUUGAGUGGAAGAGCUCUGAGCACACCAGGAAAACAUUCACUCAGGAGUUAGACUCAUUUCUGAUCACUGCAGUCAUCAUUUACAGAUCAGAGGAUAAGAGCAGAUGUCUAAUACAGGCAAUUUCUAAAACUGCAACUAGUUUGCAUUUAAAUAUAUUUUGAUCUCAAUAUAAAAAUGAAAAUAAAACCAAAACACAAGCAUCAGAAUUAAACCACUCUGCUCACACAUGCCUAAAGCCAUUUCACCCAGGGCUGAGUGUGGGCAUCAUUCUGUAAGGAUUCUAUGAUUCCAGGAAGUUCAAUUCAAUCCAGAAUCAUGUUCUCAAAACUCAUAAAUGUGAAAACAUCCAUUUCUGCAUUUUAGCUGUUAUAUUUGCCUCCUUCAGGCAGACAAAUUUAAUAACAUUAAAGCUUUAUCUUUAUAAUGCUGCACUCAAGAGAGAGCAUUUCUAUCUUUAGGUAUUUCAGGCAUUUUUUAGUGCAUAUCACACAUUUUUACCCCAAGCCCCCAUGUCACAAUGCAAAUGCAUGAUAAAUUUAAUAUUUCCUCUGCUGUUCAUCAAUAUGCCAAUGCCUGCAGGGAGCACUUUGUCUUGUUUGGGAUUUCUUUAGCCAUAACUGUGAUACUUCAUCACAAAUUAUCCACUUCCACUGAAAACAAAUUCUUUUUCUUUCCCAUAAUUCAGUGAUUUAUCCUACUUUUAGCAUCCUUAAAACAUUCCAGAAAAAUUCUCUUCAAUUCUUUUUUCUUUGUUAUGUUGAAAAAUUACCUGCAAGAAGUUAGAAACUGCAGAAUCAGUCAAAAGGUCAAUUUAACAAAUUUACUUUAUACUUCAGAAAUCAAAGAAGGUAUCAUGUUUUUGUGACAUUGUGGUUUUUAGGGAAGCCAAAGUUCCUCAUUUCAUUCAUUCUGUGCUGAGGCUCCCCUAUCCCUGAGAGCAGCCAGGAAUUUCACAGACACUGAGCCCAACACAAAUCAACCCAAGAACCCAACCUGGAAUAUUCAAAUUUCCCAGAGAGACCCGUGCAUUUGCCAAACAAUAAAUUGCUAAAAAAAAAAAAGAAUGUACCAUACUAAAAUAGAGUGAUUUUGGUUUUCCUAAUGUUUUACCUUGGCCACAAUAAACAAGCAGGACAAUUUGCAAACAUUUAACUCUUUUUACUGCAUUAGCUUCCCUACCCAAACACAGAAUCAUCUUCAAUCUUCCACUGUUUUCACCUCCCUUCCACUGCAGAACAACCUCCCACUUAUUUUUUUCUGAAAGAGCACCUUAAUUACACUUGAAGUAUAAUUCAAUAUAUACCUCCCCAGCACCUUCUUUGGUUGGAGCAUGAACACAGCAGCAUCAGCAUGGAGGCAUGAUUUAAUUAAAAUUACUGAAAUCAGCGUGGGAGUGUCUGUAGUGCAGGAGUGAUGCAUCACUCCUCCCCAGAACCUCCAGGGGACAAAUAAAAAGGAGACCAACCAAAACAUAAUUAUACUUCUCCAGAUAUAUUAAGCCUACUGUGCCACCAGCUUACACAGCUACUCUUUUAAAACAGAAGAGAAUUACAAGGUACUUCAUGAUUUUAACCAAAGCCAACCCACAGAAUGCCACAAAAUGUUACUGAGCUUGGGAUGCAACACAAGGAAAAAGUCAGGAUGGCUGUACUGAAGUGAUGCCACUGUUUUUCCAGAGAUUAGCUGUCCCCAAAAAACAACUGCCCAGAAGUGACAGACACUCAUGACCCAGUGUUUUUUAAGUCUUUAAAAUCCAAUUAGGUUGGAUUCACAACAAAGCAUGCUGGUGACUGACUCUGCUCUACACACAACCAACCAUCCCUGUCAGCAAUUGCAGCACCAAACCUGUGUCUGCACACACAUGAACAACAGGAACCCACCACAUUCUGACCCCCCACAGCAGCAAUAAAUUCCACUUCCAGCUGAACUCAGCCACCUUUAACACCUUCUACCUGUGGAGCUCUGUAACCUGAGUGCACUGUGCAGCUCCGGAGGUUCCUGGGAUGAACAGGAUGAGUUUAGACUUUCCCCACUUUUCCAAUCUGAAAUGCUUCCCCUGUAUGACAGUGCAAAUCUACUGGCACUAAUUUUGUUUUCUCUCAGAUUAUCUCCUUAGUCAACCCCCCUUUUCAGAGACUGAAAAAUAAAACAAGUCUUGUUACAUCUUCCCACUACUGGUCUCCUGUUCCACCCAUAGACCUGCACCAGUGUCUCUGUCUACUUUCUGCCCAAAAAGUUCACCAAAUCUCGUAUUACACAGAUUUACUAUAAUUAAAAAAUAUCUAGUGGCUCCUUGCAGAGAUGCCAAUGACACAUCCACAUCAUUUUGCAAGGAUUAAUAUCCAAACUGGAGCAGUUCCAGCACCAAGUUCCCUAAUUCCCACAGCAGGGACAGCAGGGCCUUUGGACUGCACGUUCUGACACAUCCGAGGGCUCUGCACUGCUGGGGUUUAGUUGGACUAAACAGCAAAAAUUCUGCUUCUCCCUCCGGCACAAUCAGCACCUUCUGCACUUGCAGUGUCACACUUCAACGUGUUGUUUUCAUUAUUAAUGUUCAGCCGAUGAGAAUAAUACCAAACUUCUCCUUUCAAGGGGAAAGAAACUGAACUUCACAUCUGAUUUCAAGAAACCACUGCCUUUACAUCCUGAAGAGUUCCCACCGCUCAAACUCGCACUCAGCCUCCCCGGUAACGCAAAAGUGCCGUGUCAGAAGUCACACUUUGGGGAUGACACUUGCACAGAACCACCUCCCGCCUGAGAUGCCACGGAAAAUCUCCGAAUUAUCGCUGAGGGGGUUCGGAAAACAAAGAGGCGCGGGGCUGGAGCGGCGGGACGCUGAACUUCACGUGCCGCAGGACGGCAGGUGCGGACACCGGCUCGGCUCGGGCAGCGGCCCCGCCACAGCGCUCCCCGCACCGCCCGGCUGCCCUGCCCGGGCUGCGGGCACGCCGGCCCUGGGGUC